UACGUAGGGUGCAAGCGUUAAUCGGAAUUACUGGGCGUAAAGCGUGCGCAGGCGGUUAUGCAAGUCAGUUGUGAAAUCCCCGGGCUCAACCUGGGAACUGCAUUUGUGACUGCAAGGCUGGAGUACGGCAGAGGGAGGUGGAAUUCCACGUGUAGCAGUGAAAUGCGUAGAGAUGUGGAGGAACACCGAUGGCGAAGGCAGCCUCCUGGGCUAGUACUGACGCUCAUGCACGAAAGCGUGGGGAGCAAACAGG
rnacentral:rRNA from 1 species